rnacentral:rRNA from 1 species
CCUACGGGAGGCAGCAGUGGGGAAUAUUGCACAAUGGGCGAAACCCUGAUGCAGCGACGCCGCGUGAGUGAAGAAGUAUCUCGGUACGUAAAGCUCUAUUAGGAGGGAAGAAAAUGACGGUACCUGACUAAGUAGCCCCGGCUAACUACGUGCCAGCAGCCGCGGUCAUACGUAGGGGGCAAGCGUUAGCCGGAUUGAAUGGGUGUAAAGGGAGCGUAGAUGGGAGCACAAGUCUGGAGUGAAAACCCGGGGCUUAACCCAGGAACUGCUUUGGAAACUGGGCGGCUGGAGAGCAGGAGAGGUAGGUGGAAGUCCUAGUGUAGCGGUGAAAUGCGUAGAUAUUAGGAGGAACACCGGUGGCGAAGGCGGCUUACUGGACUGUUACUGACGUUGAGGCUCGAAAGCGUGGGGAGCAAACAGGAUUAGAUACCCGUGUAGUC